GCCCAGGUGUCGGAACUGGUAGACGAGCUGGCUUGAGGGGCCAGUGAGCGCAAGCUCGUGCGGGUUCGACUCCCGCCCUGGGCACAA
rnacentral:tRNA from 1 species